ACUGUACGCGGGCUAUAGUAGUACUACGGCUAUGCAAACAUGAGCUUAUCCCUCGCAUGCGGACUACAGAGAAACUGAAUGAAGAAUGGUCGCGAUCCGUUUCGGAAACCCUUCGAAAACACAGCGAGACGAAGAAAAAUCGAACGAGCAUCUGCGAGAGAAAUUGCAACAACGCAUUGCGCAGCUGCUGCACACUGCCAGCUAGAUGCACACCUCGACAAGCCACCACCCCUCUAUCGCGCACAUUCUUGCGCCCAAAACUCACCAUCUCGAUCAUUUGGACUAGCAUGGUUCCGCACGCUUGACUAUAGGCUCCAACGUGAUGAAGUACUUUAAUUUCACAUAGAAAUCCGACUACUUGCCUACGACGGUACGCGUUCAGGAAUAUAUGAUGUUACGUGUACUGCUA